rnacentral:lncRNA from 1 species
UAACAGCUGGCCUCCCACACUGGCCUUUGCAGCCACGCCCACAUAUGAGGCUCAUUAUGAAGUAAUGAGAACAUGCAUAUAGGACACAAAGAAAUAUCCACCUCAUCACUCUUUGGUCACACAUGUAUCUCAAUGGCUUCAGCUCUGAAUACAAAGCACAUAAGCAAACAAAUAUAACAGCAUCAGUUAAAUUCUGGUGGAAAACACUGUUCUAGACACAAGGGAUACGAUGUGAACAAGACAAAUAACAUCAUCUUAGAGUGGACAAACAGAAAAUAAACCAGAUGGAAGUGAGUUCUAUAAAGAAAACACAACAUGGCAAUCUGAUGGAGAGAUAUAAGAAGUGAAUGAUGCAGCUACUUUAAAUAGAGUGGAUGGGCCUGAGAAGCUGCAUUUCUAACAAGCU